rnacentral:rRNA from 1 species
UAACAAGGUUUCCGUAGGUGAACCUGCGGAAGGAUCAUUACCGAGUGAGGGCCCUCUGGGUCCAACCUUCCCCACCCGUGUCUAUCGUACCUUGUUGCUUCGGCGGGCCCGCCGUUUCGACGGCCGCCGGGGAGGCCUUGCGCCCCCCGGGCCCGCGCCCCGCCGAAGACCCCAACAUGAACGCUGUUCUGAAAGUAUGCAGUCUGAGUUGAUUAUCGUAAUCAGUUAAAACUUUCAACAACGGAUCUCUUGGUUCCGGCAUCGAUGAAGAACGCAGCGAAAUGCGAUAAGUAAUGGUGAAUUGCAGAAUUCAGUGAAUCAUCGAGUCUUUGAACGCACAUUGCGCCCCCUGGUAUUCCGGGGGGGGCAUGCCUGUCCCGAGCGUCAUUGCUGCCCUCAAGCACGGCUUGUGUGUUGGGCCCCCGUCCCCCUCUCCCGGGGGACGGGCCCGAAAGGCAGCGGCGGCACCGCGUCCGGUCCUCGAGCGUAUGGGGCUUUGUCACCUGCUCUGUAGGCCCGGCCGGCGCCAGCCGACACCCAACUUUAUUUUUCUAAGGUUGACCUCGGAUCAGGUAGGGAUACCCGCUGAACUUAAGCAUAUCAAUAAGCGGAGGAAAAGAAACCAACAGGGAUUGCCUCAGUAACGGCGAGUGAAGCGGCAAGAGCUCAAAUUUGAAAGCUGGCCCCUUCGGGGUCCGCGUUGUAAUUUGCAGAGGAUGCUUCGGGUGCAGCCCCCGUCUAAGUGCCCUGGAACGGGCCGUCAUAGAGGGUGAGAAUCCCGUCUGGGACGGGGUGUCUGCGUCCGUGUGA